UUCGCCCUUAGAGUUUGAUCCUGGCUCAGGACGAACGCUGGCGGCACGCCUAACACAUGCAAGUCGAACGGAGUUUUAGAUGCUUGCAUCUGAAACUUAGUGGCGGACGGGUGAGUAACACGUGAGCAACCUGCCUUCCAGAGGGGGAUAACGUUUGGAAACGAACGCUAAUACCGCAUAACAUAUAUUUAUCACAUGGUAGACAUAUCAAAGGAGCAAUCCGCUGGGAGAUGGGCUCGCGUCCGAUUAGAUAGUUGGCGGGGUAACGGCCCACCAAGUCAACGAUCGGUAGCCGGACUGAGAGGUUGAACGGCCACAUUGGGACUGAGACACGGCCCAGACUCCUACGGGAGGCAGCAGUGGGGGAUAUUGCACAAUGGGGGGAACCCUGAUGCAGCGAUGCCGCGUGAGUGAAGACGGCCUUCGGGUUGUAAAGCUCUGUCGCAGGGGACGAAAAUGACGGUACCCUGCAAGAAAGCUCCGGCUAACUACGUGCCAGCAGCCGCGGUAAUACGUAGGGAGCAAGCGUUGUCCGGAAUUACUGGGUGUAAAGGGAGCGUAGGCGGGAGGAUAAGUUGAAUGUGAAAUCCAUGGGCCCAACCCAUGGCAGCGUUCAAAACUGUUCUUCUUGAGUGAAGUAGAGGCAGGCGGAAUUCCUAGUGUAGCGGUGAAAUGCGUAGAUAUUAGGAGGAACACCAGUGGCGAAGGCGGCCUGCUGGGCUUUUACUGACGCUGAGGCUCGAAAGCGUGGGUAGCAAACAGGAUUAGAUACCCUGGUAGUCCACGCGGUAAACGAUGAUUAAAAGGUGUGGGUGGACUGACCCCAUCCGUGCCGGAGUUAACACAAUAAGUAAUCCACCUGGGGAGUACGGCCGCAAGGUUGAAUCUCAAAGGAAUUGACGGGGGCCCCGCACAAGCAGUGGAGUAUGUGGUUUAAUUCGACGCAACGCGAAGAACCUUACCAGGUCUUGACAUCGAGUGACGGAUAUAGAGAUAUAUCUUUCCUUCGGGACACGAAGACAGGUGGUGCAUGGUUGUCGUCAGCUCGUGUCGUGAGAUGUUGGGUUAAGUCCCGCAACGAGCGCAACCCUUACCAUUAGUUGCUACGCAAGAGCACUCUAAUGGGACUGCCGUUGACAAAACGGAGGAAGGUGGGGAUGACGUCAAAUCAUCAUGCCCUUUAUGACCUGGGCGACACACGUACUACAAUGGCGAUGAACAGAGGGAGGCAAAGCCGCGAGGCAGAGCAAACCCCUAAAAAUCGUCCCAGUUCGGAUUGCAGGCUGCAACCCGACUACAUGAAGCUGGAAUCGCUAGUAAUCGCGGAUCAGAAUGCCGCGGUGAAUACGUUCCCAGGGUCUUGCACUCACCGCCCGUCA
rnacentral:rRNA from 1 species